CAAGUCGUGGGGCAGCAUGUCCCGCAGCAAUGCGGGAUGAUGGCGACCGGCAAACGGGUGCGGAACACGUACACAACCUUCCCUUAAGUGGGGAAUAGCCCGGGGAAACCCGGAUUAAUACCCCGUAAUAUAAUGAAGUGGCAUCACUUUAUUAUUAUAGCUCCGGCGCUUGAAGAUGGGUGUGCGACUGAUUAGGCAGUUGGCGGGGUAACGGCCCACCAAACCUACGAUCAGUAACUGGUGUGAGAGCACGACCAGUCACACGGGCACUGAGACACGGGCCCGACUCCUACGGGAGGCAGCAGUAAGGAAUAUUGGUCAAUGGACGCAAGUCUGAACCAGCCAUGCCGCGUGGAGGAUGAAGGUCCUCUGGAUUGUAAACUUCUUUUAUCUGGGAAGAAAUGCAUUUUUUCUAAAGUGCUUGACGGUACCAGGUGAAUAAGCACCGGCUAACUCCGUGCCAGCAGCCGCGGUAAUACGGAGGGUGCAAGCGUUAUCCGGAUUCACUGGGUUUAAAGGGUGCGUAGGUGGGUUGGUAAGUCAGUGGUGAAAUCUCCAGGCUUAACUUGGAAACUGCCAUUGAUACUAUCAAUCUUGAAUACCGUGGAGGUCAGCGGAAUAUGUCAUGUAGCGGUGAAAUGCUUAGAUAUGACAUAGAACACCAAUUGCGAAGGCAGCUGGCUACACGAAUAUUGACACUGAUGCACGAAAGCGUGGGGAUCAAACAGGAUUAGAUACCCUGGUAGUCCACGCCCUAAACGAUGGAUACUCGACAUACGCGAUAUACUGUGUGUGUCUGAGCGAAAGCAUUAAGUAUCCCACCUGGGAAGUACGAUCGCAGAUUGAAACUCAAAGGAUUGGCGGGGGUCCGCACAAGCGGUGGA
rnacentral:rRNA from 1 species